rnacentral:rRNA from 1 species
UACAGAGGGUGCGAGCGUUAAUCGGAAUUACUGGGCGUAAAGCGUGCGUAGACGGUUAUGUAAGUCGGAUGUGAAAGCCCCGGGCUUAACCGGGGAACUGCUUCCGAUACUGGAUGGCUAGAGUGUGGGAGAGGGAUGCGGAAUUCCAGGUGUAGCGGUGAAAUGCGUAGAUAUCUGGAGGAACACCGGUGGCGAAGGCGGCAUCCUGGGCCACGACUGACGCUGAGUGAGCGAAAGCCAGGGG